rnacentral:rRNA from 1 species
UACGUAGGGUGCGAGCGUUGUCCGGAAUUAUUGGGCGUAAAGAGCUUGUAGGCGGUCUGUCGCGUCUGCUGUGAAAAUCCGGGGCUCAACCCCGGACUUGCAGUGGGUACGGGCAGACUAGAGUGUGGUAGGGGAGACUGGAAUUCCUGGUGUAGCGGUGAAAUGCGCAGAUAUCAGGAGGAACACCGAUGGCGAAGUCAGGUCUCUGGGCCACUACUGACGCUGAGAAGCGAAAGCAUGGGGAGCGAACAGG